UAAAGAGCUUUCCGUGCUCCUGUGGCCC
rnacentral:piRNA from 1 species